UUAGGAAUCUUCCACGAUGGGCGAAAGCCUGAUGGAGCGACGCCGCGUGAGGGAUGAAGGCCUUAGGGUUGUAAACCUCUAAAAGAGGGACGAUAAUGACGGUACCUCUUGAAUAGCACCGGCUAACUCCGUGCCAGCAGCCGCGGUAAUACGGAGGGUGCAAGCGUUAUCCGGAAUCACUGGGCGUAAAGGGCGCGUAGGCGGUCUGUUAAGUCCGAUGUUAAAUCCCGGGGCUCAACCCCGGAUCAGCGUUGGAUACUGGCAGGCUAGACGGUUGGAGAGGCGAGUGGAAUUACCAGUGUAGCGGUGAAAUGCGUAGAUACUGGUAGGAACACCCAUUGCGAAGGCAGCUCGCUGGACAACACGUGACGCUGAGGCGCGAAAGUGUGGGGAGCAAACC
rnacentral:rRNA from 1 species